rnacentral:rRNA from 1 species
AUACGGUGAAUAGUUCCCGGACCUUGUACACACCGCCCGUCAAGCCCAUGGAAGCUGGGUGUACCUAAAGUCGGUAACCGUAAGGAGCCGCCUAGGGGUAAAACUAGUAACUGGGGCU